AGUUCGGACUGGAGUCUGCAACCCGACUCCACGAAGUUGGAUUCGCUAGUAAUCGCGCAUCAGCCAUGGCGCGGUGAAUACGUUCCCGGGCCUUGUACACACCGCCCGUCAAGCCAUGGAAGCCGGGAGUACCUGAAGAUCGUGACCGCGAGGAACGGGCUAGGGUAAUACCGGUAACUGGGGCUAAGUCGUAACAAGGUACC
rnacentral:rRNA from 1 species